rnacentral:pre_miRNA from 1 species
GGUUGCGAAAAAAAAAUGGAGGAAUUGCCAAACAAAUGGCCGUAAGUGUAAAAGUUACAGCUCAUUGUUAUUUGUCUGGCAACAUCCUCUAUUUCAUUCUCCAGCC